UUGAGUCAUUUGAGUCAGAUCGGGACUUCAGAGCGGGUUCGCGAAUCUUUUGGAUCAGAUCAGAUCUUCAUUUGGUUCGUCGAAUUUGGUCCAAAUUAAGCUCAAAAAGCGACAUUUAACGUCUUUUUUUUUUUUUAAACCAAAUUUAGCCCAAAAAUAAAUGUAGAUGGGCUUUAGUCCAAAUUUAGCAGAAAAAACAUUUUAUUUUGCACCACAAAUCCAUUAACAUAAACUAGUGAGCUAAUAUAUUAGACGUCAUGUCUGAAGCACUGUUAAAUCUAUUGAAAUAUAUUUUGAAAACACUUGAUGGUCACGCGCUGAACUGGAGCAGAGGACGUCACCAUGGAAACGGGGCUCAGCCCAACUGUCAAGCAGCUGAACGGAAGCUGUCUCUCAUGGUUGUUUUCUCUCAUUUCAGAAAUGGGCAGUGUCUUCAGAAAAAGUCCGUUAGCACCGUAAUGCUAACUACAAGAGAUUCUUCCAUGCUGAUGGCCGUGCAUGUAUCCAGCUGAAGAACAUUUUUAGACAUUAUGAAACAUAUGACUAAAUUAAGCUCCAACCCCAGUUAAACAGAUCUGAGCAGCUGAUCAAGGAUCAGCAGAAACUCUGCAGAACGGUGCUCCUCCAGCCCAGGACUGGACACCAGUGUUAUGUUGGAGAAAAAACCAUCUGCGGUGGCUCAUUAAUCCAGAAUUGGGAUGGAGGAAGGAGCAGAAGAAGCAGAAGAUCAGAGAUCAGGCAGAGAUCUACUGGUGCCCCUGUGGGAAACCAUUUACCUAAUGUGUUAGUUAAACCAAAGAUUUUCAUCACUCACCUUUACGUUGUUCCAAGCCAGACUUUUGUUCAUCUUUGAAACAUAAAUGCAGAACUUUUUAAUGAAAUCUGAGAAUUUUUUAAAAUCUAAAAUAACGCAUUCACACAAGCACCAUGAUGCAUCAGUGUUGCAUUGGCGUGAGAGCUGGCGCUUUUGGUGCUUUUGAGAAAAUCCAUUGGGGAUUCCUAAUUUCUGAAUAGAUUUUUUUUGCUGUUGUUGUUGUUUUUUGCGUACACAAGGCAUCUGUUAAAAAAUAUCUUCAUUUGUGUUCUGCACAAAAGGGUGUUAUGGGUUUGGGGUAACAUGAGGGUAAGAAAUUAAUGACAGAAUUUAAAUUUUUGGUUGUUCUAAUGUGGUUAUAAUUGUUCAUAGUUUAUUGUCUUGAAAAAUUAUAUUUAUACAGAAAGAUGGAUUAAUUUGAUAAGUUUAUAGUAAACACUUUUAAAUUGAUUUUAAAAAAUCAAAAUAAAUUCUACUCUUUUGCAAGGUCUAUUAAAAAUAUUACUGAUAAAUGUAAUGGUUUCCACAAAAUAUUGGGCAGCACAACUGUGUUAAACAUUGAUAAUAAUCAGAAAUGUUUCUUGAGCAGCAAAUCAUAUAUUAUAAUGAUUUCUGAAGAUCAUGUAACACUGAAGACUGGAGUAAUUGUGUUAAAAAUUCAGUUUACAGUCAUAAAAUACAUUUUACAAUGCAUCCACAUAGAAAACAAUUAUUUCUGUAGUUAUAUUUCACAAUAUUACUGUUUUUACGGUCUGUUUAAUCAAAGGAGGCUUAAGAUGUGAUCA